rnacentral:rRNA from 1 species
UACGUAGGGAGCAAGCGUUGUCCGGAUUCACUGGGUGUAAAGGGUGCGCAGGCGGGUUGGUAAGUCAGAGGUGAAAUCUCACGGCUCAACCGUGAAACGGCCUUUGAUACUGCCAAUCUUGAGUUCGGGAGAGGUUGAUGGAAUUCCAGGUGUAGCGGUGAAAUGCGUAGAUAUCUGGAAGAACACCAGUGGCGAAGGCGGUCAACUGGCCCGUAACUGACGCUCAGGCACGAAAGCGUGGGUAGCGAACAGG